AUUGAACGCUGGCGGUAGGCCUAACACAUGCAAGUCGAACGGCGGCACAGUAAGAGCUUGCUCUUACGGGUGGCGAGUGGCGGACGGGUGAGGAAUACAUCGGAAUCUACUUUUUCGUGGGGGAUAACGUAGGGAAACUUACGCUAAUACCGCAUACGACCUACGGGUGAAAGCAUGGGAUCUUCGGACCUUGCGCGAUUGAAUGAGCCGAUGUCGGAUUAGCUAGUUGGCGGGGUAAAGGCCCACCAAGGCGACGAUCCGUAGCUGGUCUGAGAGGAUGAUCAGCCACACUGGAACUGAGACACGGUCCAGACUCCUACGGGAGGCAGCAGUGGGGAAUAUUGGACAAUGGGCGCAAGCCUGAUCCAGCAAUACCGCGUGGGUGAAGAAGGCCUUCGGGUUGUAAAGCCCUUUUGUUGGGAAAGAAAAGCAGCAGGUUAAUACCACGCUGUUCUGACGGUACCCAAAGAAUAAGCACCGGCUAACUUCGUG
rnacentral:rRNA from 1 species